GCUGCUUUUAGGAGCGAGUUUUCCAUCAUUUCAAAGGCUGGUGCUGUUCCAAACCCCUCCAGUGCUCUGGAUGUUGCAGCUUCGAGGGGCUUGGAGCUGUGUUUCACAUAAAAUCCUACUUGUGGUUGAAGGUAAAACAGCCCCGCCCUGGUCAUCCCACAGGACUGCUUUUUGCAGCGUUUCUGGAGGUUUAAGUUACUUCCACGAUGGGAUUUGUCUUCCUUCCCUCAGCACAGUGUGCUGUGUUCUAAAAUCAGCUUCCCAAGCAAAGCCGUUCCCGCAGCGGGAAGCUUCCCGCCGUGAGGAGCUGUUUGUGGAGUCUGAUGGAGCCUGACAGACGGGGCCCGUGGCUGUGUCCUCCUUCCCAACAGCCAGCUCCUGCGGGAAAACAAAGUGCAGGACACUCUCUUUGGAAGCCACGGGGCAGCAGAGGGAUUUAGCAGCUCCCUCAGGACGUUUGGAUCGCGCGCUCUGCCAGCCGUGAGCUGCCGGUGUUUAUCCAAAGCUCUCGGGACAUGUUGUUCAGGCCCUGGGGUGGGAGGGAAGUGCUGUUGAUUUGCCCCUUCCCUGUGUUUUUUAUCCCUCACAGCUUUGGGAAGGAGUCUUUGAGCUCUGACGUGGAGCCAGUCUUGUUUUCUCAGCGUGAUCCAGCCGCGUGUCGGAAUCCGCUUCAGCGGCAGACAGGAACGGGACAUCAGGAAACUCUGUUGGUUGGAUUUCUCUUGCACUAGAGGUUUUAUGAUCUCCUGUGACCUAAAAAACAGCCUUUUAUUAAAAAAAAGAAAGGGAACGUGUUCCCAGUGGGUCCGUGUUGAUGCAAAUCCCACAUGGAGGAGUCCAGCAGUGGCCAGCAUGCCUGGACAUGGGGGCUUUCAUCUGUUUUCCCUCUCCCCGUUUAUAGCAAAUGGAGAAGCAGCUGGGAUCUGUGUCCUUGUGCCUUGGAUGUGAAUGCACAGGUUUCACAGCAGGAUUGGUGUCAGAAGGAACAGAGUGAGUGAAGGAAGGGCUGUGAUUCAUGGGAGCCUCUGGCUUGGUUCCCAGAGCAGACUCCUUGUGUCUUGAAGGACCGGCAAGUAUGGAGGAGCCUGACCACAAAUAUUUCACCAGGACUCAAUAUCUCCUGCACCUUUCCCACUGGGCUCAGCUGCGGAGCGCUGGAGGUGGAUCAUGCAGCGAUCACUGGUGAUAAAGUCCUGUUUCCAUUGCCAAAUAUUCCCUGGCAAACGUGGGACGUGGCGCUGAGUGCUCCUGUGGGGACUCGCAUGUGGUUUCCACCUCGCCAAGGAGAGCUGUGCCUGAGGAGCAGGAGUUUCUCCCAGCUGUGCUGUCAGGGACACAAACUCCCCAGCUCUGGGACUCGCACUGACCCUUCUCCUAAAGAAUCCAGGCAUACAUUUUUCUGGAGCAGCUGGUAUUGGAUUGGAAGGUCAUAGUGGUGGUGGAGGUGGUGGGAAGGGAGCUGAUUUUCCCAAGGUGACGUUGGAAGUCUGUGGCAUGAGUGCAGCUGUGCUUCCAUCUUAAUUCCAUCCUUCUUGUCCCUUUGUUCCCUCAUCCCCAAGAAUCCAUGUGCUGUUAACACACUCAGAAUUAAGGCAAAUGUGACUGCCCAGCUGCCAGGGCUGUGCUGCCAAGGUGCUGCACCUGAGGCGAGCACAGCAGGAACCUGGAGCAGCAGGAAUUGUUACUCUGCAUUCCCCCAGCCAGUUUCUGCCUUCCAAAGUGCAAGGGUCGAUUUUCCAUGAAAUUUGCCCAUUUGUUGUCACACAACUCGCAGGAAAAGGGUUUUCUCUGUGGCUUCUCCCUCGUUUGCCUGGAAUCAGGAAUGUAUUAGAACUGGUCUUGCAGAGGAUCAGGCAAGAAGAGGACUUGAUUGCAGACAUCUCAUUUCCGUAGGAAAUGGGGCUAAAAAUAGGGAAGGAAUGUAAAGGAGACUUCUUUUUCUUGACACCCGCCCCGUUCCCCAGCUGGGAAUCAGCUUUUGUCCCAAAAUCUGUUUAUUGCCUCGCUGUUGUUUUCUGGGCCCCAGAUGUAGCAAUGAGCUUGAUUUUUGCUUUGGAGAAGCCGGAGCAGGGCUGUUUCCAGGGGCUGAUGCACAAGGAGGACACACGUGAUGGCAAGAUGGGUUUCUGGGAGAGGCCUGCUGGCUCUCCAGGCUCUCCACGACAGUCCCUGUGUUAUCCAGGGGCCUCCCUCCAGCACUGAUCCCGCUGGCAGCAGCUGUGAUCCCGAUAACCCUGUGGCUGGUUGAGAGCUGAUGUCCCUGUAGGCACCAGGACGUUCCCUUUGGACACCUGAUAGGGGCUAUAAAUACCAGGUGGGUUCAUGUUCCCUCAAGCACAGAGUGGGCUGUGCCAAGUCACCCCAGAUGGUCAGGCUGAGAGAUCCCUGUGCCAGAGAAAUGACUGCAGCCUUUGGAAAAGGGACCGAGCCCCUGAUGUGGGCAUUUGAAGGCUCCACACCCUUGGCCAGGUCCCUUCUCCCAGUUUCUUUUUUUGCAGCACUGGUGUCACCUGGGAUCUGUGUCCCACGGGUCAGAAGUGUUCUGGGGUCUGAUGGAGAGAGUCAAGAUGCUGCUCAAGGUGUUGUCAGGCUUGUCCCCUCUUCCCAGGAUGUCCAAGGCACAUCCAUGCCAGCUCCAGGACGGGAUGACGACAGCCUCUGCUGGCCAGGAGAGAGGAGGAGGAGGAGGAGGAGG